GAGUGGCGAACGGGUGAGUAAUGCGUCGGAACGUGCCGAGUAAUGGGGGAUAACGCAGCGAAAGUUGUGCUAAUACCGCAUACGCUCUGAGGAGGAAAGCGGGGGACCUUCGGGCCUCGCGUUAUUCGAGCGGCCGACGUCUGAUUAGCUAGUUGGUGGGGUAAAGGCCCACCAAGGCGACGAUCAGUAGCGGGUCUGAGAGGAUGAUCCGCCACACUGGGACUGAGACACGGCCCAGACUCCUACGGGAGGCAGCAGUGGGGAAUUUUGGACAAUGGGGGCAACCCUGAUCCAGCCAUGCCGCGUGUCUGAAGAAGGCCUUCGGGUUGUAAAGGACUUUUGUCAGGGAGCAAAUCCUGCUUGUGAAUAAUGAGUGGGGAUGAGAGUACCUGAAGAAUAAGCACCGGCUAACUACGUGCCAGCAGCCGCGGUAAUACGUAGGGUGCAAGCGUUAAUCGGAAUUACUGGGCGUAAAGCGUGCGCAGGCGGUUUUGCAAGUCUGAUGUGAAAGCCCCGGGCUUAACCUGGGAACGGCAUUGGAGACUGCAAGG
rnacentral:rRNA from 1 species